rnacentral:rRNA from 1 species
UGGGGAAUAUUGCACAAUGGGCGCAAGCCUGAUGCAGCCAUGCCGCGUGUGUGAAGAAGGCCUUCGGGUUGUAAAGCACUUUCAGCGAGGAGGAAGGUGGUGAACUUAAUACGUUCAUCAAUUGACGUUACUCGCAGAAGAAGCACCGGCUAACUCCGUGCCAGCAGCCGCGGUAAUACGGAGGGUGCAAGCGUUAAUCGGAAUUACUGGGCGUAAAGCGCACGCAGGCGGUUUGUUAAGUCAGAUGUGAAAUCCCCGGGCUCAACCUGGGAACUGCAUUUGAAACUGGCAAGCUAGAGUCUCGUAGAGGGGGGUAGAAUUCCAGGUGUAGCGGUGAAAUGCGUAGAGAUCUGGAGGAAUACCGGUGGCGAAGGCGGCCCCCCUGGACGAAGACUGACGCUCAGGUGCGAAAGCGUGGGGCAGCAAACAGGAUUAGAUACCCUGGUAGUCCACGCUGUAAACGAUGUCGAUUUUGGAGGUUGUGCCCUUGAGGCGUGGCUUCCGGAGCUAACGCGUUAAAUCGACCGCCUGGGGAGUACGGCC